rnacentral:rRNA from 1 species
GUAGGGAAUAUUGGACAAUGGGCGAAAGCCUGAUCCAGCCAUGCCGCGUGAUAGAUGAAGGCCCUCUGGGUUGUAAAUAUCUUUUAUCUGGGAAGAAACUCCUCUAUUCUUAGAGGCCUGACGGUACCAGAGGAAUAAGCACCGGCUAACUCCGUGCCAGCAGCCGCGGUAAUACGGAGGGUGCAAGCGUUAUCCGGAUUCACUGGGUUUAAAUGGUGCGUAGGCGGGUUGAUAAGUCAGUGGUGAAAGCUCCGGGCUUAACUUGGAAACUGCCAUUGAUACUGUCAGUCGUGAAUGUCGUAGAGUUAAGCGGAAUGUUGCAUGUAGCGGUGAAAUGCUUAGAUAUGUUACAGAACACCAAUUGCGAAGGCAGCUUACUAUGCGAUAAUUGACGCUGAGGCACGAAAGCGUGGGGAGCAAACAGGAUUAGAUACCCGAGUAGUCC